CAGUAGCCGCGGGAAUACGUAGGGUGCGAGCGUUAAUCGGAACUACUGGGCGUAAAGCGUGCGCAGGCGGUUGUGUAAGACAGGUGUGAAAUCCCCGGGCUUAACCUGGGAACUGCGCUUGUGACUGCACAGCUAGAGUAUGGCAGAGGGGGGUGGAAUUCCACGUGUAGCAGUGAAAUGCGUAGAGAUGUGGAGGAACACCGAUGGCGAAGGCAGCCCCCUGGGCCAAUACUGACGCUCAUGCACGAAAGCGUGGGGAGCAAACAGGAUUAGAUACCCCAGUAGUCCCUGUCUCUUAUAC
rnacentral:rRNA from 1 species